UUUGGCAGAAAAAGUGUAUUAAGUUUAGGAUUUAAUUAUAUAAUUUAUUAUUAUAUUCA
rnacentral:tRNA from 1 species